rnacentral:rRNA from 1 species
CCCUUAGAGUUUGAUCCUGGCUCAGGAUGAACGCUAGCGGCAGGCUUAAUACAUGCAAGUCGGGGGGCAGCAUGACUGUAGCAAUACAGUUGAUGGCGACCGGCAAACGGGUGCGGAACACGUACGCAACCUACCCAAAACUGGGGAAUAGCCCGGGGAAACCCGGAUUAAUACCUCGUAACAUAAUAAAGUGGCAUCACUAUAUUAUUAUAGCUCCGGCGGUUUUGGAUGGGCGUGCGCCUGAUUAGGUAGUUGGCGGGGUAACGGCCCACCAAGCCUUCGAUCAGUAACUGGUGUGAGAGCACGACCAGUCACACGGGCACUGAGACACGGGCCCGACUCCUACGGGAGGCAGCAGUAAGGAAUAUUGGUCAAUGGACGCAAGUCUGAACCAGCCAUGCCGCGUGGAGGAUGAAGGUCCUCUGGAUUGUAAACUUCUUUUAUCUGGGAAGAAAUCCAUUUUUUCUAAAGUGGUUGACGGUACCAGAUGAAUAAGCACCGGCUAACUCCGUGCCAGCAGCCGCGGUAAUACGGAGGGUGCAAGCGUUAUCCGGAUUUACUGGGUUUAAAGGGUGCGUAGGCGGAUAGGUAAGUCAGUGGUGAAAUCUCCGAGCUUAACUCGGAAACUGCCGUUGAUACUAUUUAUCUUGAAUACCGU